CCGCGCAUAGCUCAGCCUGGUAGAGCAGUUGCCUUUUAAGCAAACGGUCGGGGGUUCAAAUCCCUCUGCGCGGACCA
rnacentral:tRNA from 1 species